GACGAACGCUGGCGGCGUGCUUAACACAUGCAAGUCGAACGGAAAGGCCCUGCUUUUGUGGGGUGCUCGAGUGGCGAACGGGUGAGUAACACGUGAGUAACCUGCCCUUGACUUUGGGAUAACUUCAGGAAACUGGGGCUAAUACCGGAUAGGAGCUCCUGCUGCAUGGUGGGGGUUGGAAAGUUUCGGCGGUUGGGGAUGGACUCGCGGCUUAUCAGCUUGUUGGUGGGGUAGUGGCUUACCAAGGCUUUGACGGGUAGCCGGCCUGAGAGGGUGACCGGCCACAUUGGGACUGAGAUACGGCCCAGACUCCUACGGGAGGCAGCAGUGGGGAAUAUUGCACAAUGGGCGGAAGCCUGAUGCAGCAACGCCGCGUGCGGGAUGACGGCCUUCGGGUUGUAAACCACUUUCGCCUGUGACGAAGCGUGAGUGGCGGUAAUGGGUAAAGAAGCACCGGCUAACUACGUG
rnacentral:rRNA from 1 species